ensembl:lncRNA
AACAGCAGCAGGAGCAGUAGCAGUGGUGGUGGUGGUGGUGGUAAUAGUGUAGCAGCAGCAGCAGUACUAUUUAUACUAAUAGUAGCCAUAACAGUAACAGCACUGGCAACAGCAGUAGCAGCAGUAGUAAGGAGUAUGGAAGGACGCUAUAACACUACCAUUAUCCCUUCCACAUUGCAACUUUCCCCAUAGCGGUGAUGUGUCAUCAGCAGGCGAGAGAAAUUAAAGGGGGAUUUGAGGAGAGUUUUUCAGAAGCCAAAGAUAACAUAAGAAGACUAGCAGAUGACACAGAGCCUAUGACCAAAUACUUAGCCCAGAUUUUACAGGAGGUUCCUAUAAACACCUCAUGAGAGAAAAAGAAAAAAAUCAGACUUCUUCUUUAGUAUGAAGAUAGGGUCAAAAAAUCUUGUGUAGAUUUUCCAGAUCAGAGAGGCUCUGCUCCCCAACCCCUGUGAUGUGGAAGAGGAUAACUGUAAUUAGCACCAGAACCAGAAUUCCAGAGGACUGAUGGUGACUAAUACUUCCUGCCUAUCAACAGAGAAGUGAUGGACUUUUGGUAUAGAACGAGACAUACACUGUCACAUGUGGCCCUGUGUAAGUUGCUUGGUUUUGCUCUAUUUCUUGGUUACAUUUGUUACAUAUCUUUGUUUCUUUGUACCUAUGGGAGAGAGGGUAGGCAAGUCAUUGUGAAGUUUCAACAGUGUUAAAAAGCCCGAGUCCUCCCUACAGAGGUUUCAUGAGACAAAGAAACCGAGAGGGUCUUCACAAACAACAGAACCCCAGUGCAAAACAUUUCAAAAGAAAAGAAUUCUUGCUAAGUGCAAAAAAUACUGUAUCAAGAAUACUGUCCUGCCAUUGUUUGUCUCUAAACUUUGCUGCUGCUGAAAUCCCAAGGACAAAGGGACAGGAAACAGGAUUGUUCUGGAACAGUCUGGAUGUUAUUCUACCGAGCAUGUUGAUAAAACACAGCUCCUGCACUCUGAGCCAAGGUGGAAGGGAUAGUGUACAUGUGAGAAUGGGCUCAGAUUGGAACCUGGUCUUUUGUUUUGUUCAUCAGCACGGGCCAGCAGCUAUUGACUACAAAAGUUUAUAGGCCAUAUGGGAGCAGGAUCCCCUCAGACUCUUCCCAAACAGAGAAAAGCCAGACUCAACUUAACUGUAUUCAAGAGAGCUCCUCCUAUCAAUUAGGACAAACCCGAUCAUUGAUCUGUACUCAACUUUGUGUUGUUCUCUGAUGAUCAGCACAAUGGGACUCUGUCAGACUACAAAGGGGAAGUCAAUUCUGUCUGAGUCUUCCUGAAAAAAAGAGCUUGUCUCUAGUCUUCUGAUUCACAAAAAGCACAACUGUGAAGCAAAUUUACUGCCACUGACUGAAGCUAAACGGGGGCAGGCCAACUCAUUGUCUCUGGCAAUGGAAAUUACCCAUGAUGGAUAUCAAUGAGUCCAUGAGACUAUUACACAGACAGGCCAACAAAGACAUUGCUAAUGGAUGCCUUGUACCAUCGCUGGCCAUUGGACUGAUCUUAAAUAGCUAAUGAAAAAUAAAAUUUUCUCUAUCUUUGAUCUCAAAGUUGUCUCUUAAAGAAUUCUUUCUUCUUCUUAAUCUGCACCCAUAAAAUUAAGAAAGAAACAUGGAUACUUAUAAUUCUUAAAGGAACAAAAAUGUGAUUUCUUUCUAUAAGACAAUAAUCUGUCCUGCACUUCUUCUGUGUUCUCAUCCUGUUUUGCCUAGACUUUUGAAAUGUCCCCAUACUUAAUCUCCCUGCUUCCAUUCUCAUCUCCUUUCCAAUCCCUGAAAUUGAUGUAUCUAAAGCACAGUUCUUUACCAGUCACUCCUCUCCUGCUCAAGAAGCUUCAAUGAUUCCCUACUUACACUCAUAUAAAACACAAAUUCCUCUGUGUGACA